ensembl:lncRNA
GCUCAAUUUUCCUACAUAAUUGAGAAUUUGAAAUUUGGGCAAGAAUCACAUCUGUACUGAAAUAAAUUAUCUGUGUUUGGUCUGCUACAAUUUGCUGGAGGUCCACUCCAGAAUCUGUUUGCCUGGAUACCAACAGGGGAAGCUGCAGAAUAGCAAAGAUUGUUGCCUGCUCCUUCCUCCAGAAGCUUUGUCCCAAAUGGUCACCAGCACGAUGCCAGCCAGAUCUCUCCUGUAUGAGGUGUCUGUUGGCGCCCAUUGGGAGACCUCUCCCAGUCAGAAGGCAUGAGGUCAGGGACCUGCUUGAGGAGGCAGUCUGUUCCUUAGCACAGCUCGUGUGUUGUGCUGGGAGAACCUGCCUUGUUAGUGUGAUGUGCCUAAUAACAGAGCUUCAAAAUAUGUAAAGGAAAAUCUGACAGAACUAAAGAUAGAAAGGCAAAUCAAAAGAUAUAGUUAAAAAUUUUAACAACCCUCCCUCAGUAAUUAAAAAAAAAAACAACAAAACUAAACCAAAAGUGUCAUAGAGAAAAUCUGAAAAACAUUAUCUACCUUCUUGACCAAAUUGGUUUUACAAAAUACUCAUACAACAAUUACAGAAUAUAGUUUUAAGUGCUUACGAACAAUUUACCUAGGUAGACUAUGCUCUGGACAGAGUAUACUAUCUGAUCAUAAAAAAUUUAAAUAAAUUAAUAAGAAAUAUCUAGAAAUCCACAAAUACUUGAAUAUGAAAGAACUCAAUUCUAAAUAUUUCAUAGGUGAAAGAUAAAGAAAAUUAGAAUGUAUUUCAACAUGAAUGAUAAUAAAAUAUAAUAUAUCAAAUACAAUGCAAUACAUUAACUGUCAACUUGAUAUAUUGUAUUAAAUAUUAUAUAUCAGCUGUUGGAAAAGUACCAAAAGCAAUACUUAAAAAUUCAGUUAAUGGCUUUUAUGUGAAGAGAUUAGUGUUUAAAAUAAAUGACCUAAGUUUUUAUCAUGAUUUUAAAGAAAGGUGAACAUUAGAUCCAAAAUAUAUAGAAUAAAGAAAAUAAUAACAAGCAGAAAUAACCGAAAUUACCAAAACAAAAACUGAUUCUUUAAAAAGACAUAAAGUUGAUAAAAUAUUGAUAAAAGACUUAUCAAAAAAUUAUAGAAAAAUCCAAGUUACUAAUGUAAUGCAAAAAACAGGCUUUUACUACAGAUUUUACAGAUAGUAAUUGAAUAAUAUGGGAAUAUUAUUAAUGGCUUUAUUGAAUAUACUUGACUCCUGGGAUGAAAUGCAUGAAUUUCUGAGAAAACACAGUGUCUAAAAACUAACAAGAUGAAAUAGAAACUAACAAGGUGAAAUAGCCCACUUAUUCAGUAAUAAGUAGAAUAUUUUUUAAAAUAUAUAUAAAAUAAAACUUUUUUAUAAAAACACUCAAGGCCUGGAUGUUUCUACUACUUAAUUUAAAUUCUGCUAAGAAAAUUAGAAAUGCAAACUUUACACUAUUUUUUUUAUCUGAAAGUAGAUAUAGAACACUCCCAAAAUUAUUUUAUGAGGCCAAAAUUACCCAAAACAUGACCAAAAACUUACCAUAAAAAUUAAAGACUAACAUUCCUCACAAAUAAAUAUGUAAAAAUUCCUCACAAAAUGUUAGUAAAAUGAAGCCAGUCACAUAUAAGAAGGAUCAUAAUGACCAAAUGGGGUUUCUUAAAGCAAUGGAAAGAUGUUUUAACAUUUGAAAAUCAAUUAUUGUAAUUUACUAUGUAAACAGACUCUAGCAGAAAUAACUUGGAAUCCUCUGAAUAAAGAGACUGUAUUUUCUCAAUAUUAUAAAAGACUUACCUA